rnacentral:rRNA from 1 species
AGUGAACGCUGGCGGCGUGCUUAACACAUGCAAGUCGAACGAGAACGGAUUAUAGCUUGCUAUAAUUGUCAGCUAAGUGGCGCACGGGUGAGUAAUGUAUAGGUAAUAUGCCUCUUACUAAGGGAUAACAAAUGGAAACGUUUGCUAAUACCUUAUACUCCUUAUUAACAGAAGUUAAUAAGGGAAAGAUUUAUUGGUAAGAGAUUAGCCUGUAUUGUAUAAGUUAGUUGGUGGGGUAAUGGCUUACCAAGACUAUGACACAUGACUGGUUUGAGAGAAUGAUCAGUCACACUGGAACUGAGACACGGUGCAGACUCCUACGGGAGGCAGCAGUGGGGAAUAUUGCACAAUGGACGGAAGUCUGAUGCAGCAACGCCGCGUGGAGGAUGACACAUUUCGGUGCGUAAACUCCUUUUAUAUGAGAAGAUAGUGACGGUAUUAUAUGAAUAAGCACCGGCUAACUCCGUGCCAGCCGCCGCGGUAA